rnacentral:rRNA from 1 species
CGUACACUCCUGCGGGAGGCAGCAGUGGGGAAUAUUGCACAAUGGGCGCAAGCCUGAUGCAGCCAUGCCGCGUGUAUGAAGAAGGCCUUCGGGUUGUAAAGUACUUUCAGCGGGGAGGAAGGCGAUAAGGUUAAUAACCUUGUCGAUUGACGUUACCCGCAGAAGAAGCACCGGCUAACUCCGUGCCAGCAGCCGCGGUAAUACGGAGGGUGCAAGCGUUAAUCGGAAUUACUGGGCGUAAAGCGCACGCAGGCGGUCUGUCAAGUCGGAUGUGAAAUCCCCGGGCUCAACCUGGGAACUGCAUUCGAAACUGGCAGGCUAGAGUCUUGUAGAGGGGGGUAGAAUUCCAGGUGUAGCGGUGAAAUGCGUAGAGAUCUGGAGGAAUACCGGUGGCGAAGGCGGCCCCCUGGACAAAGACUGACGCUCAGGUGCGAAAGCGUGGGGAGCAAACAGGAUUAGAUACCCCAGUAGUCCCAUG